UACGUAGGGUGCGAGCGUUGUCCGGAAUUAUUGGGCGUAAAGAGCUUGUAGGCGGUCUGUCGCGUCGGCCGUGAAAACCUGCAGCUUAACUGUGGGCCUGCGGCCGAUACGGGCAGACUUGAGUUCGGUAGGGGAGACUGGAAUUCCUGGUGUAGCGGUGAAAUGCGCAGAUAUCAGGAGGAACACCGGUGGCGAAGGCGGGUCUCUGGGCCGAUACUGACGCUGAGGAGCGAAAGCGUGGGGAGCGAACAGG
rnacentral:rRNA from 1 species